rnacentral:misc_RNA from 1 species
CUCGACACCCAGGCUGCGAGCGAGCCGAUCGACAACGUCGAUACCCGCCGCAUAAACGCUUCGCUCGAGUGCGCUGAUAUAAGUGCGGUCAAUUUCAGCACGAUGAGCCAAUUCCUCCUGUGACAAACCACGGGCCUGCCGGAGCUUCCGCAAAUUGAUUGCAAGUAUCUCGCGUAUAUCCAUACGCGAGAGGGCAUGUCCUUGAAGAGUAUUUCACCACGGAGUAUUUUCGACAAAACGCGAUCCGGACGGC